rnacentral:rRNA from 1 species
UGGCUCAGGAUGAACGCUAGCUACAGGCUUAACACAUGCAAGUCGAGGGGCAGCAUUUCAGUUUGCUUGCAAACUGGAGAUGGCGACCGGCGCACGGGUGAGUAACACGUAUCCAACCUGCCGAUAACUCGGGGAUAGCCUUUCGAAAGAAAGAUUAAUACCCGAUGGUAUAAUCAGACCGCAUGGUCUUGUUAUUAAAGAAUUUCGGUUAUCGAUGGGGAUGCGUUCCAUUAGGCAGUUGGUGAGGUAACGGCUCACCAAACCUUCGAUGGAUAGGGGUUCUGAGAGGAAGGUCCCCCACAUUGGAACUGAGACACGGUCCAAACUCCUACGGGAGGCAGCAGUGAGGAAUAUUGGUCAAUGGGCGCAGGCCUGAACCAGCCAAGUAGCGUGAAGGAUGACUGCCCUAUGGGUUGUAAACUUCUUUUAUAUGGGAAUAAAGUUUUCCACGUGUGGAAUUUUGUAUGUACCAUAUGAAUAAGGAUCGGCUAACUCCGUGCCAGCAGCCGUGGUAAUACGGAGGAUCCGAGCGUUAUCCGGAUUUAUUGGGUUUAAAGGGAGCGUAGGUGGACAGUUAAGUCAGUUGUGAAAGUUUGCGGCUCAACCGUAAAAUUGCAGUUGAUACUGGCUGUCUUGAGUACAGUAGAGGUGGGCGGAAUUCGUGGUGUAGCGGUGAAAUGCUUAGAUAUCACGAAGAACUCCGAUUGCGAAGGCAGCUCACUGGACUGCAACUGACACUGAUGCUCGAAAGUGUGGGUAUCAAACAGGAUUAGAUACCCUGGUAGUCCACACAGUAAACGAUGAAUACUCGCUGUUUGCGAUAUACAGUAAGCGGCCAAGCGAAAGCAUUAAGUAUUCCACCUGGGGAGUACGCCGGCAACGGUGAAACUCAAAGGAAUUGACGGGGGCCCGCACAAGCGGAGGAACAUGUGGUUUAAUUCGAUGAUACGCGAGGAACCUUACCCGGGCUUAAAUUGCAUUUGAAUAUAUUGGAAACAGUAUAGCCGUAAGGCAAAUGUGAAGGUGCUGCAUGGUUGUCGUCAGCUCGUGCCGUGAGGUGUCGGCUUAAGUGCCAUAACGAGCGCAACCCUUAUCUUUAGUUACUAACAGGUCAUGCUGAGGACUCUAGAGAGACUGCCGUCGUAAGAUGUGAGGAAGGUGGGGAUGACGUCAAAUCAGCACGGCCCUUACGUCCGGGGCUACACACGUGUUACAAUGGGGGGUACAGAAGGCAGCUACCUGGUGACAGGAUGCUAAUCCCAAAGCCUCUCUCAGUUCGGAUCGAAGUCUGCAACCCGACUUCGU